AGGGAUCCCUCUAAUUCUUAAUAUAACUCACUUAACAGAUGUGAGGGAAGUCUCUUGGUUUUAGUUUAAGUCAUCGUGAACAACAGCUAACCAGAUAAUCUGUAGGAAAAUCAUUUAUCCUGUUAUUGAAAAUUCCAAAACAGUUCAAGGCCAAACACCUACAGACAGUGUCUUUUACUCUCGGUGUGCACCCCUUCCCGGGCUCAGAGGAGCAGUUCUAGGGGAGGUGUGUCUACAGGUACCUGAGGAGCGUGCUUCCUGAAGUUCAUCCAGCCUCCAGCCACCCCUGGUAUGUCCGCAGUAAGUUUUUGAAGCAAGUUAGGCAUUUCACUUGAUCUUUAUUUUAAGCUUCUGUUGGCAAAAGAAGAGGGUGCUAUCCGAAGAUGUCUUAAUUUUACAGGUGAAAGACAUGGCUUUCUGUUCAUCAAAAUCGUGUCCCAGUCUGUGUAAAUGUUGGCCAAUUGGUAAGGCUCAGUGUGACAAAAUGCAACUCUGAUGGUGUAGAAAUGUGACAUGUUUACAGGUUCUGUUCCUAGGCCAUUCUGGAUUUGAGGCCACCCUGUCAGGUCACCAGGAAUAGCAGUGGAAACAAUCUGACUGCAGCACUCCACAUCUUCCAUUCUCCCUGGGGAAGGAUGUUCUGUUUGUUUUUAAAUAAACAUUGUAUUUUGUUUAAUGCGAAGAGAGAGUCUAUUUCUAGAUGAAAUUACACAUUCUGUACUUGUAAAAAUGGAAAAAUAAAAGGUAAUAGAAAAUAGCAAGGAAAAGAAAAACAAAGCCUUGUCAAAAAUUAGUUUUUAUUAGAAACUUUAGCGCAAGGAGUUGACUUAUUUUUAUCCCUUUGCACUAUAUGCAGAAAGAGGUUUGGUGAAAACAAACUGCCUGGCCUCAUUUCCUUUGAAUAAUUUUUUGAUGUCACUAGGGGCAACACUGAUGGAAGAAAUGAAGAUUUAUUUUUUCUCUUUUUUUAAAGAGAGAGAGUGCGAGACCAUGAGCAAGGGAGGGAAGAGGGAGAGGCAGACUUCUUGUUGAGCAGGGACCCCAAUAUAUGGGGCUCCAUUCCAGGACCCCGGGAUCAUGACCUGAGCCGAAGGCAGACACUUAACCAUCUGAGCCAUCCAGGCACCCUAGAAAUGGACAUUUCAAAAAAAAUAUGAAGUACACAGUUAUUUGGGGGCUGCCUGGGUUUUGUGAGUGAUAUAUACAGGAAAUGUGAGCCCUACAUGUCCUUGGAGAGAUGUUCUAAAUUCAUCCAUUAAAGCUUUACUGUUUUGCAGAGGUGGUUCACUUCUCAUGUUCCAGAGACUACAGGCUGGAAGGUGGUGAAGAGCUUCUGCUGGCUCUCUCUUUUCCCUGCCCCCUUUCUCUACUGAACUGCACCUGACCCAUCACAGGUAAAAAGAUGUCUUGGUUAUUCUUAACACAGAGACAGUAAAUUCCUUGCUAUUACUGAGUUAAGUCUCCUGCUGUAAGAUUAUGUAAUCCAUUUUCUCAGUUCUAAUUGCUUGGCUUUCAUUCUUCAGCACUGCAGGCUGAGAACUUGGCUUUUAUUGAACUUUCUCACUGUGUGGUGAUGCAGCUAAGAAUUUAACAUGGGUUUUACUCGUUUUUAAGUGGCUUCUCAUGUGUCUGGAACACAGGAUAAUGCCAAAAACAUUUGUUUUUCCUGCAGCUUUUUAGCCUUCCUGUACCCUCUACCAAGAGGUCAUACAGGAAACUGAUUCUUACUCUGGUUUAUGCUAACUUCACUGGGGUAAGCCAGCUUGGGAGAAUCAUAAUCCAGGAUUUAAUCCAAAUCAUUUUUGCAAUAUUAAUUAUAAAUUCAGAUUGUACUCCUUGGGCUUCCUUGUUUCUUAAAAAAAAAAAAAAGAAAUCCCUUUUCCUGAAGGACUCAUUAUGCUCUAAUGUCUCCUGGAUAACAUGUGGAUGCUGCAGGCAUUAUAAGUUCACGUUUGAUUAACAUUCUUUGUGAAUUCAGUGUUUGAGCCCAGUUCCUCCACUUUAUUCCUUUAAGAAGGAGAUCACGCACCAUCUUGAGAGUUGCUGAUGUGAGUUUUAUUUCUAGUUUUGAUGUUUGACUUAGUGUGAUCUUGGAUAAAUCAACAGAGGGGAAGGUUCACUUUUCAGAAGGUGAGGUUUAUCAAAAACUUGUUAGAUAUAAAAGACCUGACAGAGCAUGGCUAGAUUUCUCUAGACAGCGUCUGACCUGACUGAGGAUGGUUUUGUGUUGAGGUCAAGAAAGUACAGUAGCAGGGAUCGUGAUGCAUUAUGAAGCUAGAGUUUGGAAUAGAAAGGGAAGGGAAUUGUCCUGCCUCUCGCUGAACCUCUGCUGCCAUUCCGUCCCCCUUUCCUUUCAAGUUUACCAUUCUGAGGUCCUGCGAUGUGCCAGGCAGUGAACAAGUCAAGCAUGGCCUCUGCUCUCGUGGAACUCAAAGUCUCACGGGGAGGACAUACUGAACUGUAACAAGGGGAGUUCAGGCCACUGUGAAAGCCUGUAACCUAGAGAAUUACAGAAGCCGCCCCAAAAAGUGGCAUUUGACCAUGAAGACCUGAAAGGUGAGUGGGUAUUAAUUAGGUGAAGGAUUGAUGUCAGUCCCCUGGCCAUACCCAACUGUGUCAUGUCAGGCUUUUGGGAAGUGAGGGGAACAAGGUGUGUGUGGGGGAGGCAGGUUGUAGCAUUUUUAAUUAAUUUGAAAAUUAAAGAAUCCAAGCAUCUUUAAGAACCAGAAGUGUAGUUCCCAACCCUGUACCUGGCCCUGGGAGUCAGCUUUAAGGGAACUGGGACCAGCGCUAAGGGGUACCUGGAGAGGGAAGCAGAGAUGGUGUAGGUCUUCAUACAACUUACUAGGAGAAUCAAGAUGCUUGCUAGGUAGGUAGACUUGUGUAUUCUAGCCCGUGCCUUUGCUCAUGCCUUGUUGCUUCCACCAGAACACAUACCUGCCUACCUGCCUUGUACCUUCCAAGUCCUAUCUAUCUGAAGCAUGGGCUCUGGAGUCAGAGGACCAAGUUGAUUCCUGGUUCCACCACUUACCAGCUAGCUGACCUUGAAGAGGUUUCUGAACCUCUCUGUGAUUCAAUUUCCUCAUCUAUAAAUGGGGAUAAUCAUAAUGCCUACCUCAUGUGAUGGAAUCAUUCCUGCAGAGUGCGUGUAUCGUGCCUGGCAUAGAGUAAAUUUCAGUAAAUGUGAGUGGGUAGUGAUCUAGAAGACCCUUCCUGUUUUUGGAAGUGUUCUAUAGCUAAUUCAACCCUCACAGAUCUGGGAUUCUUAGAGGAUUCCCAUUACACUUGGAGGUAGAGGCAUACUUUUUUUUUUUUUUUCUUAGCAUCUCUUUGGUCAGUGGCCUUCAACAGAAGACCACCAGAAGCAGUCCUGUAGUUAAACAAGUUGGGUUGCAGUGAGGGAGAACACAGGCCAUGAGGAACUGUGGGGUGUCCCAGUAAGGGAGUGUUAGAACUUAUCAUAGGAUUUGGGCUUUGGUUAGGUCAUUUGGGAUAGCAUCUAAGGAAGCAGGGUUUUGCCCUGGAUUGGAUGCUGUCAGACAGCAGGGUGAAUCUUUGAUUGGGGAUCUCAGUAUAUCUUAUCUGGCUGGCUGAGAAGGCUAGGCAGGGGAUACACUGUAAUUUGUAAAGUACUAGCAAUCUCUCAUUUUGGCUGAAAGAUGGGAUGUUUGGUAUUCUGCAGGUUUACAGUGACCUUAUUUUUGUGUGUGCUUAGACAAAAUUAUGAAGUUGCUUCACUUUGUCUCAUUUUAUCACAGUCUCCAAUAACCUUGUCUGAGGUUCAAAUUCUGUGAGAUAGUUCACAUUCUACAGGAGAAUAAUGUGACUUAGCCUGAAUGCCAGGCCAGUUUCUAAAUGGCCGGGGCUAAUCUUUUUGUCCUUCUAAACUUGGUAAAUAACUAUUUUACUUGGGCUAGUUUUCUUCCUUCUGGGAAAUUCUAAGUGAUUAUAUCCAUUUACUCAACGAAACACUCACUGAACAUCUAUAUGUACUACAUAUCAGGCAUCAUGCUAAACAAAGGACACAAUGAUAAAAAGCCCUGCUUUCAAGGAGCUCCACGUCUAGCAUGAGAGGAGAGCUAAAGACUGCACUUCAGUCAGUCAUUUUGAUGGUUUUGAUGGUGUGAAUGCCUUCUUCAGCUUUCCCAUAAAGAACUACUCCAGCCUGUGUCUGGACAUAGUAACAAUAAGCACCCACUCCCAUGAGGCAGUAUCAGUUUGAUGCCAAACAUUAGAAAAUCUUACCUUGAUCUGUAAUCCCCUCCUAGUAUCUUCCACCACUUGACCCCUGUCUUUCUAAUAGAACAGGCACACACAACAAGUUUUCUGAGUGUUACCUGUAGCCACCUACAUAAUCACCACAUGAAAGGUGUAAGUGGACUCUGGAUUCUCACAUUUCAGUGCUGUACUAAUUACUCAUAGAUUUCUCAAAAGAAUAUUCUCAGUCAACAAAUAGUUUAAUGUGAUCACGUUUCUUGAAGGGCUUUGCUAUGUCACGUGGCUGGAGGACAAGAGACUAUGUUACUUUAGGAACCCCUAGGGGGUUCCUAGGCCGGUGGGUGCCACUCAGGAUAAGAGCAACAAAUACUAGGUGGCAGCACCUCCCUUCAAACUGGCAGCGCCAUCUGGGAGCUGAGUACCUGUCUGCCCUUUGGAGAGAGGGAUAAAGGGACACUCCAGAAAUAAUCUGGUUUCUCCCUCUGCCCCCAGGUGGGACAGCCCCCACUCAGAUCCGCCAGAGUAUGCAUUUAUCCCAUUUGUAGUAAUUUCUGAGGAAAGGGGGGCCCCUUCCCAAUAAUGACCUCUUCUAAUGUUUUAGAGUCUUGACCGUUCAAAAGUUCUUCCUAUAUAACCAUUCAUUCAUAUGCUAGCAUUUCAUCUUAUCUUCUCCUUUUCUCAUGUGAAAUUUUAUUUAGCUCAGCAAAUAAUUAUUGGACACUUUCUGAAUCCGUGAACAGAGAGACAGUUACUCUUCAAAACUUACCUCUUCAGCCAUAAAAUAAAAA
rnacentral:lncRNA from 1 species